rnacentral:tRNA from 1 species
GGUUCCGUAGCUCAGCUGGAUAGAGCAACGCCCUUCUAAGGCGUGGGUCAUGGGUUCGAAUCCCGUCGGAAUCA